GCCCUGCUGGCGCAAUGGUAGCGCGCGAGACUUCUAUCCAGUUUAUCAUUCCUGGCAUCUCGAGGCUGCGGGUUCGAGUCCCGCGUAGGGUU